rnacentral:rRNA from 1 species
AACGUGGGUAACCUGUCCAUCAGAGGGGGAUAACAUUCGGAAACGGAUGCUAAAACCGCAUAGGUCUUCGAACCGCAUGGUUUGAAGAGGAAAAGAGGCACAAGCUUCUGCUGAUGGAUGGACCCGCGGUGCAUUAGCUAGUUGGUGAGGUAACGGCUCACCAAGGCCGUGAUGCAUAGCCGACCUGAGAGGGUGAUCGGCCACAUUGGGACUGAGACACGGCCCAA